UAAGGAAUAUUGGUCAAUGGACGCAAGUCUGAACCAGCCAUGCCGCGUGCAGGAAUAAGGCCCUACGGGUCGUAAACUGCUUUUAUGCGGGAAGAAACCUCCGAACGUGUUCGGAGUUGACGGUACCGUAAGAAUAAGGAUCGGCUAACUUCGUGCCAGCAGCCGCGGUAAUACGAAGGAUCCAAGCGUUAUCCGGAUUUAUUGGGUUUAAAGGGUGCGUAGGCGGCCUAUUAAGUCAGUGGUGAAAGCCUGAUGCUCAACAUCAGAACUGCCAUUGAUACUGAUGGGCUUGAAUACACUUGAGGAGGGCGGAAUGUGUCAUGUAGCGGUGAAAUGCUUAGAUAUGACACAGAACACCGAUUGCGAAGGCAGCUCUCUAAGGUGUUAUUGACGCUGAGGCACUAAAGCGUGGGGAGCAAACAG
rnacentral:rRNA from 1 species